rnacentral:rRNA from 1 species
CUAAGAAUAUUCCGCAAUGGACGAAAGUCUGACGGAGCGACGCCGCGUGGAUGAAGAAGGCCGCAAGGUUGUAAAAUCCUUUUGCUGGGGAAGAAUAAGCGCAGGAGGGAAUGCCUGCGUGAUGACAUGAACCGGCGAAUAAGCCCCGGCCAACUACGUGCCAGCAGCCGCGGUAACACGUAGGGGGCCAGCGUUGUUCGGAAUUACUGGGCGUAAAGGGCAUGUAGGCGGUUUAGUAAGCGUGGCGUGAAAGACCACGGCUUAACUGGGGGGUUGCGUUGAGAACUGGUGAACGUGAGUUACGGAGAGGGAGCGAGAAUUCCUGGUGUAGGGGUGGAAUCUGUAGAGAUCAGGAAGAAUACCGAUGGCGAAGGCAAGCUUCUGGCCGAUAACUGACGCUGAGGUGCGAAAGUGUGGGGAUCAAACA